CUUAAGGUCCCAUACAAAAGGCACUCAAAACUCUUGUGGAGCCCACAAGAGGGCCACAGUUUGUACAGAAGGAGGCAUGGAUCCGCCAAGAGGCAUCUUUGUUGACCAGGAGGACGAUGUCAAAGCAAGCUAACAAAAGGGAAGCACCCAGCAAGCAGACCAAGAGAGAAAACAAAAGCACACCCACCCACCCCAUCAAAGAAAAAGUGUGAAAGCUUUGCUGGAGCCGACAACGAAAGGAGGCAAACGCAGACAUUCCCAAGGAGGAGCGUCUCAUUCGAUGGCGCGGCGCUGAUCUUGCGAGAGUGCAGCGCUCUCCGAUCCCACGUAUCGCAAGACACAACGAGUUCCCCGCACAAGAUCGCCCCAUUCCCAGCGCACAGCCGGGUCAAUGGGUGGCUGCUUCUCCAGUUCUCAGGAAACCCAGAUCCGGAUGUAGCCGCCUCUCAUUCCCGCCCUCCCACUAACUCUUACUCAUACACGGGAACCACGAGAGAUUUUAUGGUGGGGUCGGAUUUCUCUGGGUCCACAUUACCUUUUAGAACUUUGGGGUCCCUUAUAUUUUUUUAAGAUGAACUCACCUAAAAAAGUAAUGUGUGAAUGAAGCGUAUGCUGUAUCUGCCUGAAUAAAAGACUAGUUCUUUUCAUUUUUAAAAAAAAUAUUAGAAAUCAGGUCAUCUUAAAUUCAGGGUCCUGUUCCUUUGUAGGAAAUUCAGGUAUAACCUGUGUUUAACUUCUACUUUCUAAGGGGGUCGUUUUAAAUUCAGAGUCUCUUCGAUUCAGGUAAAUACAGUAGUACCAGUGUGUGCAUGUGCACAAAUGUUUGCCUCAUUUACACCUUCAAUUUUUACAUUUUUAAUACACACACAAAUGCAUAUGCAGAAUAUACAUUUAAAUAUAGAUGUAUGUAUCUUUGCUGGAAUUGGUUGUAACUCCAAUUAAACUGCAAAUCUGGGUUUA